rnacentral:tmRNA from 10 species
GGGGAUGAUCGGUUUCGACAUGACUGGUGAAUCGGCGUGAAGCGGGUCGAGGAUGCGGGGUUAUCUCGUAAACGCCCCUCGCAAAACAUAGGUGCUAACGCUAAGCGCACCGACUUCGCCCUCGCUGCUUAAGCGAGUCCGAUAGUCCGUCAGCCCGGGGGAGUUCCCGCUCCGGUAGCUGGCGUCAUUAAGGGAACUUGCUGUGGUGUUGUGUUUCAGGGCACCACGGGACUUGCACUGGAACUGGGCUCGUCGAUCAAGGUGUCUGUCCCCAUGAUCGGAGCCAAGUAGAACAGUAGACAGACUGCACCCGGAGAAGCCGCGGUUUCGUAGUUGUGGACGGGGGUUCGAUUCCCCCCAUCUCCACGA